rnacentral:rRNA from 1 species
UGAUGCCUACGGGGGGCAGCAGUGGGGAAUAUUGCACAAUGGGGGAAACCCUGAUGCAGCGACGCCGCGUGAGUGAAGAAGUAUUUCGGUAUGUAAAGCUCUAUCAGCAGGGAAGAAAUACUGACCUUACGGUCAGCAGACGGUACCUGACUAAGAAGCCCCGGCUAACUACGUGCCAGCAGCCGCGGUAAUACGUAGGGGGCAAGCGUUAUCCGGAUUUACUGGGUGUAAAGGGAGCGUAGACGGCGAGACAAGUCUGGAGUGAAAGGCCGGGGCCCAACCCCGGGACUGCUCUGGAAACUGCC